rnacentral:rRNA from 1 species
AAGAAAGCUUGCUUUCUUUGCUGGCGACCGGCGCACGGGUGAGUAACACGUAUCCAACCUACCCUUUACUCGGGGAUAGCCUUUCGAAAGAAAGAUUAAUACCCGGUAGCAUAAUGAUUCCGCAUGGUUUCAUUAUUAAAGGAUUCCGGUAAAGGAUGGGGAUGCGUUCCAUUAGGUUGUUGGUGGGGUAACGGCCCACCAAGCCUUCGAUGGAUAGGGGUUCUGAGAGGAAGGUCCCCCACAUUGGAACUGAGACACGGUCCAAACUCCUACGGGAGGCAGCAUG